CAGUGUUGCCGAGGAGAUGGACACAGUGCAGAGGCAUGCAACAUAAUAGGAGACACAUGACACACCUCCUUCAACCCUCCUUCCUCCCUCUUACAAUAGGCGCUCUUCUUUUACACAUGUAGUUUGCCCUUUUUCAUUUUCCUCAUCUUCUUGAGCUUCUCCUGUUUGUAAGGACAGUGGCUGCAUCUAUGCAGAAUGGGCUGUGGCAAUUCAUCAGCCACCAGCACCUCAGGAGGGGGACCUGCAGAAACCGGCAAAGAUUUGACAGAAGAGCCCUCACCAGACGAUGAGAAACGAAGGAACUAUGGCGGGGUGUAUGUAGGUCUACCCUCUGACAUGACCAAUGUGGCCACCAGCCAAUCCAAGACCACAGGCAAAGAUAUGGGAGGGAAUCAUUAACAUACAGCACAGGUCUGUAGCUGCACUGCUCACCACUUACCGAGACAUCCAGUUCACACGUUGAGAGCGGGAAUGAGCUGGGAUCACUUACUCAUCAUCACAAUACAACGUCUUCUCGCAGGGAGCAGAUGCGGUUGGCUGAGGAACAACGGUGGGCUUUGGACGAACGUGCUCGCGUCUGGGUCAGUGUUACAGAGAAGCUUCCAAGAUACUUGAGACGCACAACCAAGUCCCACCAGGACUCCUACUCAGCUGAUAAGUGCAUAUAAAGUAUUCCCAAUUCAGCUUGAGGAUUCAGUGUAGAUUGAUGCUUGAUGUAGCGAGAGCACGGAACCGAUAUAACGGCUCAAAAACGAGGGAUGUUGUUCACUUUUCUGAGUUUUUUUUCUGAGGCGGUACAUAAUUUCAGAGAUUUGUGAAAACAACAUACAACCCACUUGGAGAUUCUUUAGUGUUAUUUUCCAGAUAGCUGCAGCUAUUGCUUUUUAAAUCACUUGCAUUUUCUGUCUUAAUAAAGAUGGCACUACUAGUGGCCUAACUUUCAGUAUUGAACCAAUGGGGACUCGUCCCACCGGUUCUCCCAACGGAACCGACUAAGGUACAAGCAUCCGCUGCUUCUGGUUGAUGUUUCAGGACUGACACUGUUAUGUGUGUUGUCAUUUACCCUUCAAAUUUCCCUCGGAUUUCAUCAUCCAUCUGGCUGGGAUGUAUGACACAAGAGGCAUUACUUUUUUAGUUUAUUACCCACGAAGGUCUGAGUUAAUAUGAGAUCUUACUGCAUCCGAUUGUUGACUGUCUGCGUUAUAGUCCAGAUGCUAACUGCUAAUCUCACUGUUCCUCGUGUAUUUGCUAUUAUUAGCCAUUAGCCGCUGAAAAAAAAAAAUACAUGUCAUUUUUAUGGUAACAGGAACUCUCUACUAAGUCGUUACUCUCAUAACCUUUCACUGAAACACUUUUACAUGUUCACACUUACAGAAUGCAAUAAAUUAUAUAGCAUUUGUUUUGCGUUACUUAUUCAAAAUAUUUGAAUCUACUGUAUAUUUGUAAUUAUAAUCAAAUGUGAACGUGACUUUACAGUAUAUGGGAACCAUCACACUAGGAAGAAUAUUCAUGUACAAUAUUGCACUAGUCUUAAGUACUGUAGGCUAAGUGGCCUGAAGGAUAUAUAGUUCAUCCCAGGCGAUCGGUCUACUACAUGUAGUUCCUGUCCGUUUAAUGUAUUACUGAAUGUAUGAAUGUAUAGCAUCUUGUUCACAAUGAUUCCACUCUCACCAUGCUUACACACGUGAGGAGACCUCCUGUUCUCUUCAACACAAAUGCAGUCUUAGAACCAAUUCACCCCUCUGUAGCUGAGUUAAGGGUGGAAAAUGAAUUCUCCCUGAUCUUCAGCCAUCUCCUUAGUAAUCAAUGUGUAUGGCUACAUGUGAGGCUCAUGGAUGGGAGCGGUACCCCAGAGAACAACCCAGGGGUUCUGUUCUAGAACCUCUCGGCUUCCUUACCAGACACUGACACAGAAGCACUCUCUUUCACUUUAUGUUUACUUUAUCUCUGGGUUGAAACUCCUGUAGUUCUUCACUGCGUCAGUUGUCUGGUCUUUGGCUUUCAAAGUGAAACAUUCUACCUCUUUUCUGUUUUCUGCUCUGGCUAACUCCUCUGCCCUUUUACGAUGGACAUACUGUAAAACAAGGGGAAUGUCACUAAGUUAAUCCCACUUUAUUAAAUCAGGAAGAAUGUGAGGGAAGAGGAUGGAAAAAAGGAAAUAAAAUAGCUACCCUGGAGAAGGAAAUGUAGCUUCGAGGGGGAUUUGGAAAAUUGAAUCAACGAAGCAGAAUCCAAGCACACACACAGCAUUGUGGUUCCUCGUCAACCUUAAAAAUAUUUCAUGGAAGUCUCAGUGGAAUUCUGUUCACGUUGCGACACAUGACUAUAAAAACAGGCUUGGGAAUUGAAUACUUUGGAGUCAUUUGCAUUUAAAGCAGCUGUGCUGAAAGACUUGCUAUUCUGUGGCCAUCUCUAAAUGUCUAUAAUAACACAUUUGGGAUGAGAGAAAAACGGUGAGAAGACUACAGUAGAUCACUAUAUGACAUCUGCUGUAUACCAUAAUGUGAUUGAAUACUAUGCUAUAGUGGUAGAUGCUGUUCAUUAUCACUGAUGUUCUUUCUAGUUGUGGGUCACACUAAAAACUCCCAUUCAGUAAGAAGCCCCACUCAACUGUUCUAUAAACUGUGAUUAUAACCUGACAUGUACUACAUAACCUCUGCUAUAUCACUGAUCUAUUUAUGAUUAAACUCUUUUAUAUUGUC